GAUGAUGGCAUUUUAUUCUUGUGAGGAACGCUCUGUGGAGAUGGACAAGCAGACAGAAUAUAUCAAUUAGGCAAUGGCAAUGAUCAUAUCGAGAUUUCAGAAGGAUCUACAGGUGGCUUGUUAGGAACAAGUAGACAACACGUACAAAAAAGGAGCAUUAGAUAAUUACAUCAAAUCAGAAGAGAAGUAAAUGUACAAGCAUUCCAAAAACAAACCAUGUGCAGUAGGUGACUAUGUCACUGUUAAAAUUCCCCAACAAGACAGGAUGUCAACGGAUCUUCCACGUCAUCAUGCAGUAGUGGUUCAAAUCCGAGGAACAAAGAGAAUCAGCUACUGUCUGAGGUCAAAGUACGGAGUUCUGGAGAGAUUGUAUGACGAUGACAAUCUAGAGGGAUUUCAGGCAAGAUUGAGGAUCUCAGUACGUCUAGCUGGGAGAAUGACCGAAAGAUAUCUUUAAGGGAAGCGGUGACAUUGGCUAGACAGAAGCGUGGAGACUUGCUUUCCUCAAGUUAGCCGUACAACAAAAUCAACUGAGGUGAAGACGGCAGUCAGCAUUCACUGUCUGUGCUACUUGCACUUUCCUGGGAAGCAAAUUGUCCAGUGUGAUGACAGUUCGUCAUCAACUGGACUGCAUUAGCUUAUCUUCAAAGGGUGUGGUGGGUGCGGCCAAAAUUACCCACCAACCAACUUGGCACUAUUGAGAGUGUACAAAGAGACAGAACUAACAAUGAUUGAGUCAUGACAAUGAUGUGUAUUGUCUACUAGUUUAGGUGUAUGUUCGUAGUAGUUUGUAUGUUAGUAAUUUAGAUGUUCUUUCUGUCUCUGUGUCUGUCUGUCUCUGUGUCUGUCUGUCUGUCUGUCUGUCUGUCUGUCUGUCUGUCUGUCUGUCUGUCUGUCUGUCUGUCUGUCUGUUUGUCUGUCUGUCUUUGUCUGUUUUCAUUUAUUUCAAUACAUUUUAAGCACAA